rnacentral:rRNA from 1 species
UCACCUGUUUAUCAAAAACAUGUCUUUAAGAAUUUUUAAAUUUAAAGUCUAAUCUGCUCAAUGAAAAUUUUUAAAUAGCUGCAAUAUUUUUAAUUGUACAAAGGUAGCAUAAUCAUUUGUCUUUUAAUUAAAGAAUUGAAUGAAAGAUUAUAUAAAAUAUUAACUAUAUAAAUUUAAUAAAAAAUUUAAUUUUAUUUUUAAGUAAAAAAUCUUAAAUAUUAUUAUUAGACGAUAAGACCCUAUAGAACUUUAUAUUUAAAUAAUAUAUAAAAAUUUAAUUAUUAAAAAUUAUUAAUUUUAAAUAUUAUAUUGGGGGUAUAAAAAAAUUAAAAUAAUUUUUUUAUUUUAAAUAACAUUUAUAAGUGAUUAAUAAUAUAAAGAGUGUUUACAUAUAAAUUAAUAAAUUAAGUUACCUUAGGGAUAACAGCAUAAUUUUUUUAAAAAGUUCUUAUUGAUAAAAAAGAUUAUGACCUCGAUGUUGAAUUAAGAUAAAUUUUUAAAGAAGAAUUUUUAUUAUUAAGUCUGUUCGACUUUUAAAAUCUUACAUGAUCUGAGUUCAAAUCGAA